CUUGCUACUUUGCCCGCGAGCGGCGGACGGGUGAGUAAUGUCUGGGAAACUGCCUGAUGGAGGGGGAUAACUACUGGAAACGGUAGCUAAUACCGCAUAACGUCACAAGACCAAAGAGGGGGACCUUCGGGCCUCUUGCCAUCAUAUGUGCCCAGAUGGGAUUAUCUAGUAGGUGGGGUAACGGCUCACCUACGAGACUAUCCCUAGCUGGUCUGAGAGGAUGACCACCCACACUGGAAGUGAGACACGGUCCAGACUCCUACGGGAGGCAGCAGUGGGGAAUAUUGCACAGUGGGCGCAAGCCUGAUGCACCCAUGCCGCGUGUAUGAAGAAGGCCUUCGGGUUGUAAAGUACUUUCAGCGGGGAAGAAGGG
rnacentral:rRNA from 1 species